CUGGCUUUUUCCACGUGGAGCUUCUGCCCGGCAUGGGCUUCCCACCUGGAAGGCGUCCCCUUUGCUCUGGAGGUCCCUGCCCACCCAGAGGCUGCUUCUCCAGCCCCAGGGGUUGCCAGCAGGGGUGCCCCAGUGGAGAAGGGCAGAGGGCCAGCAUGUGACCUGUGGGGUAGCCACCGGAGGGUGGGAAGAGGCGGUCAGCUACACAGUUCCCCUCAUAGCCCCUCUGGUCCCAGAGCAGCGGCUGCUGCGGUGAGCGUGCAGAGAGCCGAGUACUGAUGUGUGCGUCGGCUCAGUUCAGUUCACUUCCUCCCGGCAUAAGGUAGAAAAAGCCAGCAGGGCCCGUGAGCGCGCCUGUGCUGGGUGCAGGUGGCCCCGGGGUGCCCUGGGUGCAUAAUGGCCUGGCCCUGCCAUAGUCCUUCAUGGACAGAACGUGCUGGGAGGCCCGGCAGCCAUGGAGGAAGAAGGGUGCAUGUGGGGCGUGGGGACUCCCUGCCCGGCACGGAGUGGAACACUGCCUGGUGCUUAGUGAGGACAGAACCCCAAACCUCUGUGUGCAGACACGGCCACCUGGAGGACCAGAGGUGGGAACAGUGUGACUGCAGGGGUCACGGGAGGAGGUGAAACUGUAGGG
rnacentral:lncRNA from 1 species